rnacentral:rRNA from 1 species
UAAUAGCUCACUAGUCGAGUCGGCCUGCGCGGAAGAUGUAACGGGGCUAAAACUAUAUGCCGAAGCUGCGGAUUUGCAAUUUAUUGCAAGUGGUAGGGGAGCGUUCUGUAAGCCGAUGAAGGUGUAUUGAGAAGUAUGCUGGAGGUAUCAGAAGUGCGAAUGCUGACGUGAGUAACGACAAUGCGAGUGAAAAACUCGCACGCUGAAAGACCAAGGGUUCCAGUCCAACGUUAAUCGGGGCUGGGUGAGUCGACCCCUAAGGCGAGGCCGAGAGGCGUAGUCGAUGGGAAAUUGGUUAAUAUUCCAAUACUUCUAUGUAAUGCGAUGAGAGGACGGAGAAGGUUAAGUCAGCCUGGCGUUGGUUGUCCAGGUGGAAGGUUGUAGGCAUGUAUCUUAGGCAAAUCCGGGGUACUCUAUGCUGAGAACUGAUAGCAAGCUGUACUUGUACAGUGAAGUGGCUGAUACCAUGCUUCCAGGAAAAGUCUCUAAGCUUCAGUUACAUAGGAAUCGUACCCGAAACCGACACAGGUGGUCAGGUCGAGUAGACCAAAGCGCUUGAGAGAACUCUGCUGAAGGAACUAGGCAAAAUGGUACCGUAACUUCGGGAGAAGGUACGCUGCCGACGGUGAUAGGAUUUACUCCUUGAGCUAUUGGCAGCCACAGAAACCAGGCCCCUGCAACUGUUUAUUAAAAACAUAGCACUCUGCAAACACGAAAGUGGACGUAUAGGGUGUGAUGCCUGCCCGGUGCUGGAAGGUUAAUUGAUGGGGUUAGCGUAAGCGAAGCUCUUGAUCGAAGCCCCAGUAAACGGCGGCCGUAACUAUAACGGUCCUAAGGUAGCGAAAUUCCUUGUCGGGUAAGUUCCGACCUGCACGAAUGGCAUAAUGAUGGGGGCGCUGUCUCCAGCAGAGACUCAGUGAAAUCGAAUUCGCCGUGAAGAUGCGGUGUACCCGCGGCUAGACGGAAAGACCCCGUGAACCUUUACUGCAGCUUGACAUUGAACUUUGAUCUUACUUGUGUAGGAUAGGUGGGAGGCUUUGAAACUCGGACGCUAGUUCGGGUGGAGCCAAUCUUGAAAUACCACCCUGGUAAUAUUGAGGUUCUAACUCUGCUCCAUUAUCUGGAGCGAGGACCAUGUCUGGUGGGUAGUUUGACUGGGGCGGUCUCCUCCUAAAGAGUAACGGAGGAGUACGA